GCACUGCCCUUGCUCGCUCUCCACCGACCGCCCGGAUCCCUCUGGUUCCCACUAGGGCACGGGCACCGCCUGCAGCUCCAGCGUCUUAGCGUGUGCCUCUUCUACCAGAAAAAUGCUCACCUGGGUCAACAAAGGACAAAUGCGAGACUGUUCAUUACUGUGAGCUGUGUAGUGGGGAGCUGGAGAUAAACAAGAAUGUCGAACUGUCUGGAACAUGGGAAUGAGAACAACAUACUAGGAAUGGUGCAGCAACAACAAAGAAGAACCCAGGGCCCUUGACAUCUUUGCAUAUUAGAGCCAAGCUUUAACUUCCAAGAGAAAUAAACUUCUAUGUUA